AACUGGUCCACUUGGGACUCGAGCUCCACGCGCCGGACCCGCAGGUCAUCGAUGGCCCUGCGUAGCUGCUGCUUCGACUCCAGCAGAGCAGCCACUGUGGGCUAUCGAGCAACCCUUGCUGGGGAACCAGGGUUUCUCAAGCUUCGGGUGGAAAAAGCUGAACAAUGACCUUGUUGUCGCAGGGAGCCAGACAGCCUUGGGAGCCUUCGGAUUAAAGGGAAGGAGGCUACAGCCCCAGAGGACCACAAAGACGACUGCACCUAUGGUUCCGUG